AGUGAACGCUGGCGGUAGGCCUAACACAUGCCAGUCGAACGGCAGCACAGUAAGAGCUUGCUCUUACGGGUGGCGAGUGGCGGACGGGUGAGGAAUACAUCGGAAUCUACUUUUUCGUGGGGGAUAACGUAGGGAAACUUACGCUAAUACUGCAUACGACCUACGGGUGAAAGCAGGGGAUCUUCGGACCUUGCGCGAUUGAAUGAGCCGAUGUCGGAUUAGCUAGUUGGCGGGGUAAAGGCCCACCAAGGCGACGAUCCGUAGCUGGUCUGAGAGGAUGAUCAGCCACACUGGAACUGAGACACGGUCCAGACUCCUACGGGAGGCAGCAGUGGGGAAUAUUGGACAAUGGGCGCAAGCCUGAUCCAGCCAUACCGCGUGGGUGAAGAAGGCCUUCGGGUUGUAAAGCCCUUUUGUUGGGAAAGAAAAGCAGCAGGUUAAUACCCCGCUGUUCUGACGGUACCCAAAGAAUAAGCAUCGGCUAACUUCGUG
rnacentral:rRNA from 1 species